GGUCUUUUAGUAUAAUGGUUCGUACGGCUCCCCUUCAAGAAGCAAGUAUCAGUUCAAUUCUGAUAAAGAUCA
rfam:Trametes pubescens strain FBCC735 TRAPTBscaffold_1672, whole genome shotgun sequence.